GAGUGGGUAGCUCAGGGAUAGAACUCCUGUUUAGCCUAUACGAGGCCCUGGGUUUGAUCCCCAGCACGCGCG
rnacentral:tRNA from 1 species